rnacentral:rRNA from 1 species
CUACGGGAUGCACCAGUAGGGAAUUUUCGGCAAUGGGCGAAAGCCUGACCGAGCAAUGCCGCGUGAACGAUGAAGGCCUUCGGGUUGUAAAGUUCUGUUAUCAGGGAAGAACAUACGGAUUAGGAAAUGACUCCGUACUGACGGUACCUGAUCAGAAAGCUCCGGCUAACUACGUGCCAGCAGCCGCGGUAAUACGUAGGGAGCAAGCGUUAUCCGGAAUUAUUGGGCGUAAAGCGUGCGUAGGCGGUUCGUUAAGUCAAAUCUGAAAGCCCACAGCUUAACUGUGGAGGGCGAUUUGAAACUGGCGAACUUGAGUACGGCAGAGGUUAGUGGAAUUCAAUGUGUAGCGGUGGAAUGCGUAGAUAUAUUGAGGAACACCAGUGGCGAAGGCGGCUAACUGGACCGGAACUGACGCUGAGGCACGAAAGCGUGGGGAGCAAACAGGAUUAGAUACCCUAGUAGUC